rnacentral:rRNA from 1 species
GACGUAGGGCGCGAGCGUUGUCCGGAUUUAUUGGGCGUAAAGAGCUCGUAGGCGGUUUGUCGCGUCUGCUGUGAAAACCCGAGGCUCAACCUCGGGCCUGCAGUGGGUACGGGCAGACUAGAGUGCGGUAGGGGAGAUUGGAAUUCCUGGUGUAGCGGUGGAAUGCGCAGAUAUCAGGAGGAACACCGGCAGCGAAGGCGGCCCUCUGGAUCGUUGCUGACGCUGAGACGCGAAAGCGUGGGGAGCAAACAGG